AUUGAAUGCUGGCGGCAUGCCUUACACAUGCAAGUCGAACGGCAGCACGGGGCAACCUGGUGGCGAGUGGCGAACGGGUGAGUAAUGCAUCGGAACGUACCUUUCAGUGGGGGAUAACGUAGCGAAAGUUACGCUAAUACCGCAUAUUCUGUGAGCAGGAAGGCAGGGGAUCGCAAGACCUUGCGCUGAUUGAGCGGCCGAUGUCAGAUUAGCUAGUUGGUGAGGUAAAGGCUUACCAAGGCGACGAUCUGUAGCGGGUCUGAGAGGAUGAUCCGCCACACUGGAACUGAGACACGGUCCAGACUCCUACGGGAGGCAGCAGUGGGGAAUUUUGGACAAUGGGGGCAACCCUGAUCCAGCCAUGCCGCGUGAGUGAAGAAGGCCCUCGGGUUGUAAAGCUCUUUCGGCCGGGAAGAAAUCGCACGGGCUAAUACCCUGUGUGGAUGACGGUACCGGAAUAAGAAGCACCGGCUAACUACGUGCCAGCAGCCGCCGUAACAC
rnacentral:rRNA from 1 species